rnacentral:rRNA from 1 species
AUGACGUCAAUCAUCAUGCCCCUUAUGACCUGGGCUACACACGUGCUACAAUGGCUGGUACAACGAGUCGCAAGCCGGUGACGGCAAGCUAAUCUCUUAAAGCCAGUCUCAGUUCGGAUUGUAGGCUGCAACUCGCCUACAUGAAGUCGGAAUCGCUAGUAAUCGCGGAUCAGCACGCCGCGGUGAAUACGUUCCCGGGCCUUGUACACACCGCCCGUCACACCACGAGAGUUUGUAACACCCGAAGUCGGUGAGGUAACCUUUUAGGAGCCAGCCGCCUAAGGUGGGAUAGAUGAUUGGGGUGAAGUCGUA